rnacentral:SRP_RNA from 21 species
CCCUCACGCGGCGCUAUCUGACUGAACUCCCCCAGGGCCGGAAGGCAGCAAGGGUAGGUCGGCUCUGGCGGGUGCGUGGGGG